AGAGUUUGAUCCUGGCUCAGGAUGAACGCUAGCGGCAGGCUUAACACAUGCAAGUCGAGGGGCAGCGCGGGGCGGCAACGUCCUGGCGGCGACCGGCGGAAGGGUGCGUAACGCGUGAGCGACAUGCCCGUUGCCCGGGGACAACCGGUGGAAACGCCGACUAAUCCCCGAUGGGACGAGUUGCUGCAUGGCAGCUCGUUGAAAGUUACGGCGGCGACGGAUUGGCUCGCGUCCGAUUAGCUUGUUGGCGGGGUAACGGCCCACCAAGGCUACGAUCGGUAGGGGUUCUGAGAGGAAGGUCCCCCACAAUGGAACUGAGACACGGUCCAUACUCCUACGGGAGGCAGCAGUGAGGAAUAUUGGUCAAUGGGCGGAAGCCUGAACCAGCCAUGCCGCGUGCGGGAAGGAGGCCCUAUGGGCUGUGAACCGCUUUUGCCUGGGGGCAAUAAGGGCGUCGUGCACGUCCGAUGAGAGUACCAGGCGAAUAAGCAUCGGCUAACUCCGUGCCAGCAGCCGCGGUAAUACGGGGGAUGCGAGCGUUAUCCGGAUUCAUUGGGUUUAAAGGGUGCGUAGGCUGUGCGUCAAGUCGGGGGUGAAAUUCCGGUGCUCAACACCGGGGCUGCCCUUGAUACUGUCGCGCUGGAGUGCGGAUGCCGCCGGAGGAAUGAGUGGUGUAGCGGUGAAAUGCUUAGAUAUCACUCAGAACACCGAUUGCGAAGGCAUCUGGCGAAUCCGUAACUGACGCUGAGGCACGAAAGCGUGGGGAUAGAACAGGAUUAGAUACCCUGGUAUUCCACGCCGUAAACGAUGAUGGCUAACCGCCGGCGACAUACUGUCGGUGGCCAAGCGAAAGCGAUAAGCCAUCCACCUGGGGAGUACGUCGGCAACGAUGAAACUCAAAGGAAUUGACGGGGGCCCGCACAAGCGGAGGAACAUGUG
rnacentral:rRNA from 1 species